rnacentral:rRNA from 1 species
UACGGAGGAUGCGAGCGUUAUCCGGAUUCAUUGGGUUUAAAGGGUGCGCAGGUGGGAAAAUAAGUCAGUGGUGAAAUACUGCCGCUUAACGGUAGAAUUGCCAUUGAUACUGUUUUUCUUGAGUAUGGUUGAGGUAGGUGGAAUGUGUUGUGUAGCGGUGAAAUGCAUAGAUAUGACACAGAACGCCGAUUGCGAAGGCAGCUUACUAAGCCAUUACUGACGCUGAGGCACGAAAGCGUGGGGAUCGAACAGG